GACCGGGGUUGGAGAAUGAUGCCGGAGGAAUCUUGCACUGAUGGCAGUGGUCCCCCUGGAGUGGCAGUGGGGGGCUCACCAUGUGCAGGAACCCUGGAGUCCGGCCGAGGUACCCCUGCGUACCCCUUGGCGAGUUCUUUGUUGGUAAACUUCAUCUUGGCGGGCAUCGACAAUUCUUGGACCGCCAAAGUCCUGAC
rnacentral:lncRNA from 1 species